CCCGGGCUGAUUCCGUGCUAAAGUCUUGGUAAAAAGGACAAAAUAACCUCAAUAAUCACAUCCAAGCAACAAACCAACACGGAAAGAGAGGUUCGAGGCUUACCUAACCAUAACCCAUGAAGAACUCGCCGGAGGUUCUUGGGGUUUCGUCGAGUUGCGCAGCGACGGGAGAGAGAGAAAGAGAGAGAGAGAGACGACGGCGUGUAGAAGGUGAUGACGAUGCCGUCGACGGAGUACCACGAAGGGUGUGCGUGGGUGCUCUCGGGUGUGGGUCAAAGGGUGAAAGAGUGAGGGUCUUCGAGAGAGGGAGAGUGAGUGCAGAGAAGAAAGAAGGAGAAAGAGGUCACGGGGUGGGGAGAGAGAGAGAUACGUGAGGGUGCUAGGGUGCUGCCAUGUGGUAGCU
rnacentral:lncRNA from 1 species